rnacentral:lncRNA from 1 species
CUUCAUUGAUGUGUUGCACCAAGGAGAAUGUGAAACCCAAGGGUCCACCUGCCUCCUCUCCAGCCUGGCCCAGAAAGCACCUUUGAAAGCGCACGAUCAGAAGGGUGGCUGUUCCCGCCACCAGCACGAAGAUGGCCACCACAAUAAGGACCACAUAACCGGCACCCAGGCCUGCUUCUGCAUGAGGAGGCUCACCUCGGGGAGGAGACAGGCACAGCACCAGCCAAAGGGUGGCAACAACUGAAGUGUCCACCAACAGGUGAAUGAAUCCAUACAUUGUGGCCCCACCGUGCAAUGGAACAUGACCCAACCGUGAAAGGAGUAAAGCGCUGACCCACUGCAACGUAAAUGAACCUUGAAGAUGUCACGCUGAGUGAAAGCACUGAGUGAAGGAAGCCAGGCCCAAGAGGCACCAAUAACAUGACCCUGUUCAUAGGAACUACCCGGAACUGAACAGAAAGCAAACGAGUGACUUUCAGAGACAGGGGGAAGGUGGAUGGGGAGGGACUCAUGCGUAUGAAGUUGCAUUUAGGGUGAGGAAAAUGUUUUGAAACUACAUGGAGUUGGUGGCUAUAAAACACUCUCAAUGUACUAAACACCACUGAGUCGUUUACUCUAACACAGUUAGCUUGAGGUUACGUGAAUUUCAUCUCAGUUUAAUUUUUUAAAAACUGUGCUGCCUGAGAAAGAUGCCAGCUGCCUGCUGGCUCUCUGGCUGGCCCCUAUGAGCCCAGGGGGAGAUGUGACCCUCUGCCCACCGUGUGUGGGUAUAAUUCGUUGUCAAGGGCGUCUAUAGCCAGGUCACAGCCACAUCCUGCACCACCCAGUCCCCUCCAUCUCAGGGUGUUCAUCCCCACAUAUCAGGAAGGUCUGCAUUGGAAACAGCCUUUCUGUGCAACCAGGAGCAUCUGAGAUCCCAUUUUCAUUCCCUGUAUUGAUUUCCGGGCAGUCUGCCCAGAGUGGACGCUGCUGUGUGUCCCCCAGGGAACAGCAUGGAGCGUCACCAUCAGCAAAGCCAUCCAACAAUGGCACUGUCGGAUCCCUGGGGUGCUGAACAUAAGCCAGCUAGAACCACACCAUCCCUCCUCCAGAGAGAGGGACAGGGAACACCUCCCACCCUCCAGCCAAAGUGACUCCACCCUCCCCAAGAAACCGAGGCCCCCAGAUCCCGGCCGGCCACUUCCCCAGACAACUCCUAAAUCACGAUGGACACUAAAUCCAGCCCCCAGGGGCUCUGUAGUGGACCUUCCUCCUGGGCCUCGAGUGACGGGCCACCUUGCCAGCACAAGGGGGGGUGCCGCCCUGAGGAUGCAGAGUAGAAAGACCAAGGAGACCCGCUCCUGCUGGCCCUUUGCAGCCCGGAAUGGCCCUGGACUCUCAGCCCUGGGAAAGACCCAUCCCUGUUCAGUUGCCACCUCUCCAGCUAGGUUUCUGUGACCUGCAGCUGUGUGCUCCGAACUGAACCACUAGCUCAGGGCUGGCCACAGGGGGUCCACAGGCCAGUGCUGCCCACUGACUGACACCAAAGUCCAGGAAUGGUUACUCCCCAUGGCCAGAUUAGCUAGAAGUGGAGAGCAAGCCCUGAAAACUGUGGAUGGUAAUUUCCCACAGCCACUGGUGAGGCAUCCUGCCAAACAGGGCAUCUAUCUCCCUGUUCAGGGAGGCUCCAUGCGUGUGGCAUGAGCUGUGUAUGCAUCGUGACCGUUGGACCACAUGUCAGUCCACGAUGCGGGGGAAAUUUAAAUGACGGCUGAAAUUCAGCAAUGGCUGCUUUUGUAAAGGGGGAUAUAACCCAGUGAGGGAAAGGGAAGAAGGCAUGUGAGGCUUAAAACCUAGAUGAUGGGUUGAUGGGUGCAGCAAACCACCGUGGCACAUGUACACCUAUGUAACAACCUGCACGUUCUGC